rnacentral:rRNA from 1 species
AGUGAACGCUGGCGGCAGGCCUAACACAUGCAAGUCGAGCGGCAGCACGGGUAGCAAUACCUGGUGGCGAGCGGCGGACGGGGUGAGGAAUACAUCGGAAUCUGCCUUGUUGUGGGGGAUAACGUAGGGAACUUACGCUAAUACCGCAUAAGACCGAGAGGUGAAAGCGGGGGAUCGAAAGACCUCGCGCGACAAGAUGAGCCGAUGUCGGAUUAGCUAGUUGGCGGGAAAGGCCCACCAAGGCGACGAUCCGUAGCUGGUCUGAGAGGAUGAUCAGCCACACUGGAACUGAGACACGGUCCAGAC